GACGAACGCUGGCGGCGUGCUUAACACAUGCAAGUCGAACGGUAAGGCCCUUCGGGGUACACGAGUGGCGAACGGGUGAGUAACACGUGGGCGAUCUGCCCUGCACUUCGGGAUAAGCCUGGGAAACUGGGUCUAAUACCGGAUAGGACCACUGCCUGCAUGGGUGGUGGUGGAAAGCUUUUGCGGUGUGGGAUGGGCCCGCGGCCUAUCAGCUUGUUGGUGGGGUGAUGGCCUACCAAGGCGACGACGGGUAGCCGGCCUGAGAGGGUGACCGGCCACACUGGGACUGAGAGACGGCCCAGACUCCUACGGGAGGCAGCAGUGGGGAAUAUUGCACAAUGGGCGUAAGCCUGAUGCAGCGACGCCGCGUGAGGGAUGACGGCCUUCGGGUUGUAAACCUCUUUCAGCACCGACGAAGCGCAAGUGACGGUAGGUGCAGAAGAAGGACCGGCCAACUACGUGCCAGCCGCCGCCGUAA
rnacentral:rRNA from 1 species